rnacentral:lncRNA from 1 species
UGCAGUCUCUCUCUCUCUCUCUCUCAAUCUCUCUCUCUACUAGCUCCUCUCUUCUCUCUGAUGCUUGACGGUCUGGCGAUGAGGAAAACCUUCGUGCCGGAGGUCGGUGGAUCCUCGGAUCUCCGUCGGUGAUGGUGACACAACCCUCUAAGAAGUUCUGAGCCGACCUUCGAUUCUACUCGAGAACUGUUUUUCUCGCUGGAUUUACCUUAUCGGUUCCCAUUCGCGCAAUGAGAUGUGUUCUGGAAUGUUUCCUUCCGUUUGAUUUGUCUCCUGUUCGUGCUACGCCGGAUUCAAUUGGCGGUGGGGGUUUCGGCGAGAUGACGAUGAGAUUCAUAUAUAUAGUCUGUCAAUCCACUGAUUCAUCGUGAUGUUGCUCGUGAAUCAUCGAGAUAUGUUCUGAUCGCCCUAGCAUCCACCCCACCCCAGACAGCCGUUCCUCCUCGUCCCGUGACGGUUUUUUACUAUCAUCGCCCCAUCCCUUUCUGUUUUUAACUCUGUUCUUAAGUUUAUCGUAUUAAUUUAGGAUUUGCCAUCUGAAAAAUAGGACAGAUAUCUGAGUUCCUGAUCAUUAAUUGCUAUCUGGUUCUGAUUGAUGUGAUCCUACUCAUCCGCCAUAUUACCUAAUAGACUCGUAUUACGGCACUUCGGAAUAUUUGAUCAACAGUUCUGCAUCAUUUUGGGCAUUGAUCGCAUGUGUGAUAGUUUACGGCUGAUUAGAGGACAAUGGAUUUCAGUGCAUGAUGGAAUCAUGCUUCGAAGCUCGUGUUACGGAGUAUACGCCUGGUUGGGGAACAGCGGCUCUUGAAUGUAUUGAAAAUCAUCCGUUGAAUCUUUCUGAACUCACAAGCUCAGAUGUGUAGCCAUUCAAGGAACACAAUUAACUAACUAAUGAAUGAAAUACUGCAAAUAUUUCAGCCUCCGUAAUUCUUGUCAAAUUAUUUUUUCAUCAACCACUUCUUUCCUUUCAAUCUAAGAACUCCAAGGUACCUCGUGACGCCUCAUGAUCAUCGGAUUUGAAUAGCACAACAAAUGAAUUUAUUUUUUCUUGCUAGUUAUCCCUAUCUUUGAGAAUCUGAUUUCUGACAAUUAGUUCUCCACAUCGUGUGGGCAUUUUUAGAAAAGAUAGAAGCCAUAUCUUGAAAUUCUACUAAUGUUUCAUAGAUUCAACGAGAAAUUCAACAGUUAUAUCAACACCAAGAAUUGAAUGUAUAAUUGCAAAUAUUUCACCAAACAUUAUAAUAGUAAUGCAAUUUGGGCAUAGUAAUAUUACGUCUAAAAAAUCCUUGUGCACCUAAGUCAAUUUCUAAGUGUCACAAAUGUGGUGAACAUGGUCAAAUGUUUGUUCUGGGAAUAGAGAAAAGAAAUAUUUUUAGUCUUUAAUGGUUAGAAGAUUAAUGAAUAUAUUAAUGAAUAUAGACAAAAAAGCAUGUGAUGUUAACACUAGUAAUAAUGGAAAUAUCUUUAUUUAUA